CAGGCGGUUCUCCUUGGAGGCGGGGCUGUAGGUUGACAGCUGCUCAUAGUAAACAAUGCAGAAAUCCCGCCCUUUGCACAGCAGCGUGAGUAUCUUCCAUAAAAGGCAAAAGCAAAGUCUUUUCUGCUUUGGAGUGUGUGAUGGUUUGUGGUGAAAUGGUUUCCUAUAUCUGAAGCAGCAGAGUGUGAUGUUGAGCCCCGGAAGAGUAUUUCUCAAUUAAAUGUUGCAAAGUAAGACAGUGAUCUAACCUGAAGCUGUCUGUUCCAAAACCAUAAUAAAUGGAUACCGAUGAAGAUUCCUGUUCUACUCAAACAUUGUGCCUGUGUUCUUCUAAAUGUGAAGGAGUACAAAUUAGGAGGGUGGCUCCAGAGGGAAUCUUUGGUGGCCUAAGAUGGCGCUUGGCAACCCUAGAGUCAGGGGCAGGGAUCUUACGCAUUGCAUGAUAUUUAGUGUGUCCAGUGUGACUUUUUCAGUUUCCCUCCUCCUGGUGGCAGCUUGCCACUCCCUCUGCGAAGUUUAGGCUACUUCAAAACAUGCACUGUAUUACAGAAGAGACACUGCUACCAGUCGGAAAAUUCAGCCAUCUCUGACUCUGUACAUCCCGGUAAUUGCAUUGCUUGCGUGCAGCAGUCUCUCUGGAUCUCAGCCACACAUUAUUACUUGUUUACAUUGACAAUUGUUUCAAUGCGCAGAAAACAUUGUCCCAUUGUUUAUUUGUUGGCAACAAAUGCUCUGAAUAGUUUACUUACUGUCUUGCAAGACACAGCAUGCAUUUAUUGCCAUACGUCACACCAUCUGUGGCACCGAUUGGAUCAUAGUCCUUUGUGCAGCCCUUCAAGGUGUUAAGCAACAUACUGCAUGCCUCCAGCAAUAACUAUGAAAGUGUUCUAUGUUGAAUGAUGAAACACUGUUAUUUUUAUCCUGCCUUUCCUCAUGUAGCAACAAGGUGUCUUGCAAAUCAUAAUUGUAAAAGACAGAAUAAAAUAAAUAACCCUCUUCCCCCUUGAAAGAAUAAUGUAUUACAGUGAAUUUAUGAGUUAUACAGAUAACUUUGUGAAGCAUGAUGUUUCAAAAGUUCAAACUCUUAUUAUUAUUUAAAAUAUUUGCCCAUUGAAUAAAAAUUAGCCAGAU